GAGUUUGAUCCUGGCUCAGAACGAACGCUGGCGGCAUGCCUAACACAUGCAAGUCGAACGAACUCUUCGGAGUUAGUGGCGCACGGGUGCGUAACGCGUGGGAAUCUGCCCUUGGGUACGGAAUAACUCAGAGAAAUUUGUGCUAAUACCGUAUAAUGACUUCGGUCCAAAGAUUUAUCGCCCAAGGAUGAGCCCGCGUAAGAUUAGCUAGUUGGUGGGGUAAAGGCCUACCAAGGCUACGAUCUUUAGCUGGUCUGAGAGGAUGAUCAGCCACACUGGGACUGAGACACGGCCCAGACUCCUACGGGAGGCAGCAGUGGGGAAUAUUGGACAAUGGGCGAAAGCCUGAUCCAGCAAUGCCGCGUGAGUGAUGAAGGCCUUAGGGUUGUAGAGCUCUUUUACCCGGGAUGAUAAUGACAGUACCGGGAGAAUAAGCUCCGGCUAACUCCGUGCCAGCAGCCCCGUAAC
rnacentral:rRNA from 1 species